GACGAACGCUGGCGGCGUGCCUAAUACAUGCAAGUAGAACGCUGAAGGAGGAGCUUGCUCUUCUGGAUGAGUUGCGAACGGGUGAGUAACGCGUAGGUAACCUGCCUGGUAGCGGGGGAUAACUAUUGGAAACGAUAGCUAAUACCGCAUAAGAGUAGAUGUUGCACGACAUUUGCUUAAAAGGUGCAAUUGCAUCACUACCAGAUGGACCUGCGUUGUAUUAGCUAGUUGGUGGGGUAACGGCUCACCAAGGCGACGAUACAUAGCCGACCUGAGAGGGUGAUCGGCCACACUGGGACUGAGACACGGCCCAGACUCCUACGGGAGGCAGCAGUAGGGAAUCUUCGGCAAUGGACGGAAGUCUGACCGAGCAACGCCGCGUGAGUGAAGAAGGUUUUCGGAUCGUAAAGCUCUGUUGUAAGAGAAGAACGAGUGUGAGAGUGGAAAGUUCACACUGUGACGGUAUCUUACCAGAAAGGGACGGCUAACUACGUG
rnacentral:rRNA from 1 species